AAAAAGCAAAAAAAAAAAAAAAAAGUAACCUAAAUCAUGCAUUUGGUCAAAAUAGGUCUGAAUAGGACAUUAAAUAUCAAGAUCCUCUGCCUUUGGCUAGUGAUGCUGUUUACCUCAUGCUGAUCAGGAUUGAGGAACGAACAAUACCAUAGACAAAGAGUAGAUUCAGUGGAGUGAGGAAAUUGGAGGGCAUGAACAGGAGGUUGUGGUCAGAGAGGAAUUUCAAGAGUUUUAAAUGAUAGUUACCAAGUAUGACCACAUUAGCUAGUAGUUGUAGUAGACAUGUAAGUGAUGUAAAUGAGAAAGUUAAGGAAUGUGAAGGCAGCAUGUCAGAAGACAUGGAAAAUGGUAAAACAAAACAAAACAAAACUAUGAGCCGUUGAAAAAGGAUGGGAAUAUCCCAGAUACCAGUAGAAAAGGAAGGCUAAAGGAUAGUAUAAGAGGCAUAAAAACAACAUAUUUCUUCCUUAUGAUUCAUGUGUUACUCAGAAGCCCUGUGAAUUCCUAGAACUUCUAUUAAGUUUUUUUUUUAAUUUCUAUUCCAAAUAACUUAAUAGUACCAUUCAAAUAUUGUAUUUCACUGAUGGGUUUCACUGUUAAAUUCACAGUGCUAUUAGGCCUAUAAACAAAUUGAUGUUCUGGAUUUUCAUAAUAGUCUCCUCCAAAUUUAGAGCAUGUAUGCACUUGCCAAACAGGACCUGAUUAUCUCAUAUAUGGUUAGUAGAACUGAAUGAUCAUAUCUGGCAGUCAAGACAAUUUUCUUAAUUAUAGUAUCAUCAGUCUUUCCAGUGACAACUUUUACAGUAUUUUUCAUGUAGGAUUACAAUGACUGAGAAUGUAGGGUGAAAAAAAGAAAUAUCAACCUACUUUCUAUACUGUCUCCAUUUAUUUCACUCCAUAAACACAUCAUUCCUCACAAAACUGCUUCCAUAUAAAUCCUAAACUUUAUUGGAUUCUAAUAGUAAUAUUAACUAAUAUUUGAAGUACUAACAGUACUGAUUAUAAUAUGAGGAGCCAUGGUUAGAAUAGUUCAGAUAAAGUACAAACACUGUAGCUUUUGCUACAGAUAUGGAAAAAUUCCUUUUUCUAGGAUCAAAUCAAGGAUUGGUCAGUCCCUCAUGUAAAUAUUCUUGUAAUUGAAGUCCUGUGCACAUUUCCUUUGGAUUAAACUCUUAGAGACAGAAUUUCUGGAUCAAAGGGUACGGUAGGCUGCUAAAUAAUAGCAUUCCAAAGAUGUCCAGACCCUCAUCCCUAGAACCUGUGAAUAUUUUCACAUAAUAAAAGGGCCUUCACAGGUGUAACUAAUCUCAAAAUGGGGAAAGCAGCUUAGAUUUUCCAGGUGAUCUUGUAAUCACAGGGACCUUAUGUUACCAAAUUAAGUCAUAUGGACUGUGCUCAGUCUCCACCUUAGUUCAAGCUCUCUGCCUAGGCAAGGAAGAGUUCUGUUUCUGUUCUGGUUUGAGCAGCCAAUAGUAAAACUGUAGCUAAGAGCAGCAACACAGCUUUAUUCAGUGGCCAAAGAAUGGAGAAGUGGGAACCAAGUUCACAGAUCAACUCUCUCACUCACUCGGUGAGAGGGAUUUAAUUUUAAAGACAAAGGGAGGAGGAGCGAGGCCUAAGAUGGGGAGGCAUAGUCUUAGGCUACCAGGGAAGGGACAGUGCUUUUUCUGAGGCAGUAAGGUGCCAGCCUCUUUUUUAUCAUUGUUUGGUCCUUAAUUCCAGACUGGCUGUCAGUUGAUGUGUCAUUUAAUAUGCUGAUGUAUGUAGUAAAAUCAACGUGUAAUGAAAUUUAGAGUCAAUUGGAGGUCAGAUUUCUCACCAUCUUGGUCCCAGGUUCAACAAAAACCUGGUUCCAUCAGGUGGGGGUUGGGAGGUUUUGAGCAAGGACAGUCCUGCUAAAGACGGAGUUGGAGAGUCGUGAGCACAGACUUGGAGCAGCUCUGGCCAGAGCCUCCAGAAGGAACCAGCCCUCCUGACACCUGGACUUGGGCCCAGUGAGACUGGUUUUGAGUUCUAACCUCCAGAACUGCCAGUAAAUGGAGAGAUGAGCUGUUGGGGCAAGGAAUAGUGACUUUAUUUGGAGAGCCAGAAGACAGAGAAGAUGGUGGACUAAUUUCCCAAAGAACCAUCUUUCCAGGCUUUGGAUACGAGGAGGUAAAGUAAAAAUGGCAAUAAGUUGUUGCAAAUAUUUCUUGGUUCCAGUUAGAUUCCGGAAAGUGUGUGUUAAUUUCAUUUUUUAAUGCAGCCAUUCACAGGUGGGCCUGGUCAGGAUGUUUCCUAUGGGCUAAAAAGAAAUAUUUUAGCUUAAGCUCAGGCAUGGGAGGCAGGAUUCCUAGAGAUGGGUCAUUAUGUAUACUUUAAGCUAUGGGCAAUAUCCCUUUAGUGAUUAACUUGCAGCAAAAGCAAUAAAAUACAAAGGUUGAAAUAAAAGAAAC